ensembl:lncRNA
CGAUGGUUACCACGAUAGUUACCACGUAGUUACCACGAUAGUUACAAUAGUUACCACGUAGUUACAUUACCACAAUAGUUACGCUAGUUACCACGCAGUUACCACGAUAGUUACGACGUAGUCACCACAUUACCACGAUGCUUACCACGAUAGUUACCACGUAGUUACCACGAUAGUUACAAUAGUUACCACGUAGUUACAUUACCACAAUAGUUACGAUAGUUACCAUGUAGUUACCACAUUACCACGAUAGUUACCACGUAGUUACGAUUGUUAUCACGUAGUUACCUCGUAUUACCACAUAGUUACCACGUAGUUGCCACAUUACCAUGAUAGUUACGCUAGUUACCACGCAGUUACCACGAUAGUUACGACGUAGUCACCACAUUACCACGAUGGUUACCACGUAGUUACUACGGUAGUUACCAUGUAGUUACCACAUUACCACGAUAGUUACCACGCAGUUACCACGAUCGUUACCACGAUAGUUACCACGUAGUUACAUUACCACGAUAGUUACGAUAGUCACCACGUAGUUACCACAUAGUCACCAGUUACCACGUAGUUACCACAUUACCACGAUAGUUACCACGUAGUUACCACAUUACCACGAUAGUUACCACGUAGUUACGAUUGUUACUAUGUAGUUACGUCGUAUUACCACAUAGUUACCACGUAGUUACCACAUUACCACGAUAGUUAAGCUAGUUACCACGCAGUUACCACGAUAGUUACCACGAUAGUUACCACGAUAUUUACCAUGUAGUUUUCACGAUAGUUAUCCCGAUAGUUACCACGUAGUUACAUUACCACGAUAGUUACGAUAGUCACCACGUAGUUACCACGAUAGUUGCGACGUAGUUACCACGUAGUUACCACAUUACCACGAUAGUUACGAUAGUCACCACGUAGUUACCACGAUAGUUGCGACGUAGUUACCACGUAGUUACCACAUUACCACGAUAGUUACGAUAGUUACCACGAUAGUUACCACGUACUUACCACAUUACAACGAUAGUUACGAUAGUUACCACAUAGUUACCACGAUACAUACAAUACAGAAUCACAAGACUAAUUGUAACAUGGAAGAUACCUGGGUGUGAAAGUUUAUUGUUGACCUUUUGAAAAUGAAAAAAAGAAGCUUUAAGCUACCAGCUUUACAGGCCCAACACAUCCAGUUGAUGAAGGAUCUUUUAAAGAGUUCAUCAAUUAGUGUUGGCGGAUAUCUUCAAGCUACAAAUCACCUUUUUGAAGUUUCAAGUUGACAUAUUUCGAAUGCAGUGGAAUCAUGGGAGCAAAAAGAGUGAGUUAAAGUAUAUCCGGCCCUCAGACUGCAGUCGGGUUUUCAUCAGAA